rnacentral:rRNA from 1 species
UGAACGCUAGCGGCAGGCUUAAUACAUGCAAGUCGUACGGGAUCCGAGGUAGCAAUACUUUGGUGAGACCGGCGCACGGGUGGCGUAACGCGUAUGCAAUCUACCUUUGCAGAGGAUAGCCCAGUGAAAUUUGGAUUAAUACCUCAUAGUAUAGUACUUUGGCAUCAAAGGAACUAUUAAAGUCACAACGGCAAAAGAUGAGCAUGCGUCCCAUUAGCUAGUUGGUAAGGUAACGGCUUACCAAGGCUACGAUGGGUAGGGGGUUCUGAGAGGGAGAUCCCCCACACUGGUACUGAGACACGGACCAGACUCCUACGGGAGGCAGCAGUGAGGAAUAUUGGACAAUGGGCGCAAGCCUGAUCCGGCCAUGCCGCGUGCAGGAUGACGGUCCUAUGGAUUGUAAACUGCUUUUAUACAGGAAGAAACACUCCGACGUGUCGGAGCUUGACGGUACUGUAAGAAUAAGGAUCGGCUAACUCCGUG